AUGGCUCAGGAUGAACGCUGCGGCGUGCUUAACACAUGCAAGUCGAACGGAACUACUUUGAUGAGAUUCUUCGGAAAGGAAUUGAUUUAGUUUAGUGGCGGACGGGUGAGUAACGCGUGGGUAACCUGCCUCAUACAGGGGGAUAACAGUUGGAAACGACUGUUAAUACCGCAUAAGCGCACGGCAUCGCAUGAUGCAGUGUGAAAAACUCCGGUGGUAUGAGAUGGACCCGCGUCUGAUUAGCUAGUUGGUGAGGUAACGGCCCACCAAGGCGACGAUCAGUAGCCGGCCUGAGAGGGUGAACGGCCACAUUGGGACUGAGACACGGCCCAAACUCCUACGGGAGGCAGCAGUGGGGAAUAUUGCACAAUGGGGGAAACCCUGAUGCAGCGACGCCGCGUGAGCGAAGAAGUAUUUCGGUAUGUAAAGCUCUAUCAGCAGGGAAGAAAAUGACGGUACCUGACUAAGAAGCCCCGGCUAACUACGUG
rnacentral:rRNA from 1 species